UUGGGUAUGGACGCGGCGGAGACGGCGGCCUGCCGCAGCGCGGCCUCCUCCAGGUAGCGCUGUAUGUAGUGUAUGUGUAGUGUAGUGUAGUGUAGUGUAUGUACGCACUUGGGUAUGGACGCGGCGGAGACGGCGGCCUGCCGCAGCGCGGCCUCCUCCAGGUAGCGCUGUAUGUAGUGUAUGUGUAGUGUAGUGUAGUGUAUUGUAGUGUAUGUACGCACUUGGGUAUGGACGCGGCGGAGACGGCGGCCUGCCGCAGCGCGGCCUCCUCCAGGUAGCGCUGUAUGUAGUGUAUGUGUAGUGUAGUGUAGUGUAUGUACGCACUUGGGUAUGGACGCGGCGGAGACGGCGGCCUGCCGCAGCGCGGCCUCCUCCAGGUAGCGCUGUAUGUAGUGUAUGUGUAGUGUAGUGUAGUGUAUUGUAGUGUAUGUACGCACUUGGGUAUGGACGCGGCGGAGACGGCGGCCUGCCGCAGCGCGGCCUCCUCCAGGUAGCGCUGUAUGUAGUGUAUGUGUAGUGUAGUGUAGUGUAUGUACGCACUUGGGUAUGGACGCGGCGGAGACGGCGGCCUGCCGCAGCGCGGCCUCCUCCAGGUAGCGCUGUAUGUAGUGUAUGUGUAGUGUAGUGUAGUGUAUGUACGCACUUGGGUAUGGACGCGGCGGAGACGGCGGCCUGCCGCAGCGCGGCCUCCUCCAGGUAGCGCUGCUCCCACUUGGCGCAC